rnacentral:rRNA from 1 species
GAUGAACGCUGGCGGCGUGCCUAAUACAUGCAAGUCGAGCGAACAGACGAGGAGCUUGCUCCUCUGACGUUAGCGGCGGACGGGUGAGUAACACGUGGAUAACCUACCUAUAAGACUGGGAUAACUUCGGGAAACCGUAGCUAAUACCGGAUAAUAUAUUGAACCUCAUUGUUCAAUAGUGAAAUACGGUUUUUCUUUCACUUAUAGAUGGAUCCGCGCCGCAUUAGCUAGUUGGUAAGGUAACGGCUUACCAAGGCAACGAUGCGUAGCCGACCUGAGAGGGUGAUCGGCCACACUGGAACUGAGACACGGUCCAGACUCCUAAGGGAGGCAGGAGUAGGGAAUCUUCCGCAAUGAGCGAAAGCCUGAAGGAGCAACGCCGCGUGAGUGAUGAAGGUCUUCGGAUCGUAAAACUCUGUUAUUAGGGAAGAACAAAUGUGUAAGUAACUAUGCACGUAUGGAAGGUACCUAAGAAGAAAGCCACGGCUAACUACGU